rnacentral:rRNA from 1 species
GGAAACAGGUGCUAAUACCGUAUAACAAUCAAAACCGCAUGGUUUUGAUUUGAAAGGCGCUUUCGGGUGUCGCUGAUGGAUGGACCCGCGGUGCAUUAGCUAGUUGGUGAGGUAACGGCUCACCAAGGCCACGAUGCAUAGCCGACCUGAGAGGGUGAUCGGCCACAUUGGGACUGAGACACGGCCCAAACUCCUACGGGAGGCAGCAGUAGGGAAUCUUCGGCAAUGGACGAAAGUCUGACCGAGCAACGCCGCGUGAGUGAAGAAGGUUUUCGGAUCGUAAAACUCUGUUGUUAGAGAAGAACAAGGAUGAGAGUAACUGUUCAUCCCUUGACGGUAUCUAACCAGAAAGCCACGGCUAACUACGUGCCAGCAGCCGCGGUAAUACGUAGGUGGCAAGCGUUGUCCGGAUUUAUUGGGCGUAAAGCGAGCGCAGGCGGUUUCUUAAGUCUGAUGUGAAAGCCCCCGGCUCACCCGGGGAGGGUCAUUGGAAACUGGGAGACUUGAGUGCAGAAGAGGAGAGUGGAAUUCCAUGUGUAGCGGUGAAAUGCGUAGAUAUAUGGAGGAACACCAGUGGCGAAGGCGGCUCUCUGGUCUGUAACUGACGCUGAGGCUCGAAAGCGUGGGGAGCAAACAGGAUUAGAUACCCUGGUAGUCCACGCCGUAAACGAUGAGUGCUAAGUGUU